UACGAAGGGUGCAAGCGUUACUCGGAAUUACUGGGCGUAAAGCGUGCGUAGGUGGUUUGUUAAGUCUGAUGUGAAAGCCCUGGCUCAACCUGGGAAUUGCAUUGGAUACUGGCAGGCUAGAGUGCGGUAGAGGGUAGUGGAAUUCCCGGUGUAGCAGUGAAAUGCGUAGAGAUCGGGGAGGAACAUCUGUGGCGAAGGCGGGCUCUCUGGGACGGUACUGACGC
rnacentral:rRNA from 1 species